GAGUUAUAGGAAAGCCUGGGCUACAUAGUCAGAUCCUAUCUCAAAAAACAAAAUUCCUCCCUCAUAUGCAAAAAAGUUAUCAUUAUACUGUUAAAUAUUGAUACGAUCAUAAGAAUACAAAUUCUACACAAUUUGA